UAACAUUUGGAAACAGAUGCUAAUACCGCAUAAAACCUAACACCGCAUGGUGUAGGGUUGAAAGAUGGUUUCGGCUAUCACUUUAGGAUGGACCCGCGGUGCAUUAGUUAGUUGGUGACGGUAAAGGCUCACCAAGACCGUGAUGCAUAGCCGACCUGAGAGGGUAACCGGCCACACUGGGACUGAGACACGGCCCAGACUCCUACGGGAGGCAGCAGUAGGGAAUCUUCCACAAUGGACGAAAGUCUGAUGGAGCAACGCCGCGUGAGUGAAGAAGGUUUUCGGAUCGUAAAACUCUGUUGUUGGAGAAGAAUGUAUUUGAUAGUAACUGAUCAGGUAGUGACGGUAUCCAACCAGAAAGCCACGGCUAACUACGUG
rnacentral:rRNA from 1 species